AGUACGACCGCAAGGUUAAAACUCAAAUGAAUUGACGGGGACCCGCACAAGUAGUGGAGCAUGUGGUUUAAUUCGAAGAUACGCGCAGAACCUUACCAACACUUGACAUGUUCGUCGCGACUCUAAGAGAUUAGAGUUUUCGGUUCGGCCGGACGAAACACAGGUGCUGCAUGGCUGUCGUCAGCUCGUGUCGUGAGAUGUUGGGUUAAGUCCCGCAACGAGCGCAACCCUCACUUUUAGUUGCCAUCAUUAAGUUGGGCACUCUGAAAGAACUGCCAGUGAUAAGCUGGAGGAAGGUGGGGAUGACGUCAAGUCCUCAUGGCCCUUACGUGUUGGGCUACACACGUGCUACAAUGGUACCUACAACAGGAAGCAAGACUGCGAAGUUAAGCAAAUCCCUAAAAGAUACCUCAGUUCGGAUUGCACUCUGCGACUCGAGUGCAUGAAGCUGGAAUUACUAGUAAUCGUGGAUCAGCGUGCCACGGUGAAUGCGUUCCCGGGUCUUGUACACACCGCCCGUCACACCAUGGGAGUUGGUUCUACCUUAAGGCAAGGUUUCAAACCCUUGACCACGGUAUAGUCAGCGACUGGGGUGAAGUCGUAACAAGGUAACC
rnacentral:rRNA from 1 species